UACGAAGGGGGCUAGCGUUGCUCGGAAUCACUGGGCGUAAAGAGCACGUAGGCGGAUUGCUAAGUCAGGGGUGAAAUCCUGGAGCUCAACUCCAGAACUGCCUUUGAUACUGGCGACCUUGAGUCCGGGAGAGGUGAGUGGAACUGCGAGUGUAGAGGUGAAAUUCGUAGAUAUUCGCAAGAACACCAGUGGCGAAGGCGGCUCACUGGCCCGGUACUGACGCUGAGGUGCGAAAGCGUGGGGAGCAAACAGG
rnacentral:rRNA from 1 species